UACGAAGGGGGCAAGCGUUGUUCGGAAUUACUGGGCGUAAAGCGCACGUAGGCGGAUCAGUCAGUUAGAGGUGAAAGCCCAGGGCUCAACCCUGGAACUGCCUUUAAUACUGCUGGUCUGGAGUCCGAGAGAGGUGAGUGGAAUUCCGAGUGUAGAGGUGAAAUUCGUAGAUAUUCGGAGGAACACCAGUGGCGAAGGCGGCUCACUGGCUCGGUACUGACGCUGAGGUGCGAAAGCGUGGGGAGCAAACAGG
rnacentral:rRNA from 1 species